AUGGCCAUCCGCGUCUUGUUUCCCUCUUCCUCCUCCUCCUCCUCCUCCUUCUCCACCGCCCAGCCGACUAGGAGGACUAGCAGACUGAGGCGAGGAUUCUGCUGCUUCUGUUCAAGCUCAACCACAAGCAGCGAUGAGGUCUCCUCCAGCUCAUCCAUGAUGACUGUGUCCAUCACCGGAGCCACGGGGUUCAUCGGACGCAGGCUCGUGGACAAGCUCCUAUCCGAGGAUCACAAGGUGUGCGUCUUGACACGCUCCACCUCCAAGAACAAGGCCUCCUCUGUUUUCCCUGCUUCGAGGUAUCCGGGCGUGACCAUCGCGGACAAGGAGGGAGAUUGGGAGCGAUGCAUCAGGGACUCAACUGGUGUUGUCAACCUCGCAGGAAUGCCCAUCAGCACCAGGUGGUCACCAGAGGUUAAGAAGGAAAUUCUGCAGAGCCGAGUCAAUGUCACCUCAAAGGUUGUGGAUCACGUCAAUACUAGCACUAGUGCCAGCAGCAAUGGCAAUGGCAAUGGCCCCUCUGUUUUCGUCAGUGCAACAGCCGUCGGCUACUACGGCACCAGCGAGACGGACAGCUUCGAUGAAUCCAGCCCAUCAGGCAAUGACUACCUGGCACAUGUAUGCCGAGAAUGGGAGGGCCGGGCACGGCAAGUGAAGCAGGAGCACGUCCGGCUGGUGCUCAUUCGGAUCGGAGUCGUCCUCGGCAAGGACGGCGGCGCUCUGGCCAAGAUGAUCCCCCUCUUCAUGAUGUUUGCCGGAGGGCCGCUCGGCACAGGAACACAAUGGUUCUCUUGGAUUCAUGUGGACGACCUGGUGGAUCUCAUCUACGAGUCCCUGCGGAACCCGGCCUACACGGGCGUCAUCAACGGCACGGCGCCCAACCCGGUGCGGCUGUCGGAGCUGUGCGACCGGCUGGGGCAGGUGGUGGGCCGCCCGUCCUGGCUGCCGGUGCCAGGGCUGGCCAUCAAGGCCCUGCUGGGAGAAGGCGCCACGGUGGUGCUGGACGGCCAGAAGGUGCUCCCUGCCAGGGCCACCCACCUCGGCUUCUCCUACCGCUACCCCUACGUCCGAGAUGCGCUCAAGGCCAUCAUCGCCAAACAACUCUAG
rnacentral:rRNA from 1 species